rnacentral:rRNA from 1 species
UACGAAGGGGGCUAGCGUUGCUCGGAAUCACUGGGCGUAAAGCGCACGUAGGCGGCUUUUUAAGUCAGAGGUGAAAUCCUGGAGCUCAACUCCAGAACUGCCUUUGAUACUGAGAGGCUUGAGUCCGGGAGAGGUGAGUGGAACUGCGAGUGUAGAGGUGAAAUUCGUAGAUAUUCGCAAGAACACCAGUGGCGAAGGCGGCCCACUGGCCCGGUACUGACGCUGAGGUGCGAAAGCGUGGGGAGCAAACAGG